AUGGCCACCGGAGCUGCCUGCUACUACCACCCCGCCGCGGGAAGGGGGAGCCCCUCCUCGCUAUCUCCGGGCCUCGGGUCAUCGCAGAGCAAGGUGUUCUUUAUCAGCUGCGGCGGCCGCAGCAGCAGCCGGUGGUGGAUGAGGAGGAGGGGAGGGGAGGGGAAGGCGAGCUGUGGCAGCAUCAAUAGCAGCAGCAGGGCAAGGGCGAGGCCUGCCUUGUUCUCCCCUGCCAUGGAGUGGCAGGAGUGCAGCACUGAGAUUGAAGUUGAUGUUCCAUGUUCAGUGGCCUACCAGUGUUACUCCGAACGUGAGACUAUUCCUGAAUGGAUGCCAUUCAUAUCAACUGUCAAGGUCCUUGAAGAUAAACCAGAACUUUCACGUUGGACUUUGAAGUAUGCGAUACUUGGUCGGGAUGUAGAAUUUUCUUGGCUUGCCCGAAACAUGACGCCGACUAAAAAUCAGAAGAUUCAUUGGCGUUCUCUUGAAGGUCUUCCUAACAGGGGCGCUGUCCGAUUCUUCCCUAAGAGUUCAUCCUCUUGUAGAGUACAACUAACAGUGGCCUAUGAAGUUCCUGAAAUUCUGACCCCGGUUGCAUCAGCCCUGAAACCAUUUCUGGAAGGUUUACUUUUCAAUGGGCUAGAACGUUUUGUGGCGUUCGCGAAGGAACGCUAUAGCAAGUCCCUCCAGUCUUGA
rnacentral:rRNA from 1 species